rnacentral:rRNA from 1 species
UACGGGGGGAGCAAGCGUUGUUCGGAUUUACUGGGCGUAAAGGGCGCGUAGGCGGCCAGCACAAGUCGGUUGUGAAAUCUCCGGGCUUAACUUCGGGCUUGCGGUUGAUACGGGCGGGCUGGAGUUCGGUAGGGGAGACUGGAAUUCCUGGUGGAGCGGUGAAAUGCGCAGAUAUCAGGAGGAACACCCGUAGCGAAGGCGGCACUCUGGGCCGAUACUGACACUGAGGAGCGAAAGCGUGGGGAGCAAACAGG